rnacentral:rRNA from 1 species
UAUUGGUCAAUGGGCGGGAGCCUGAACCAGCCAAGUCGCGUGAGGGAAGACGGUCCUACGUGUUUUAAACCUCUUUUGCCGGGGAGCAACGGGGUCCUUGCGAGGGCCCAAUGAGAGUACCCGGAGACACAGCAUCAGCUCACUCCCUUCCAGCAGCCGCGGUAAUACGGAGGAUGCGAGCGUUAUCCGGAUUUAUUGGGUUUAAAGGGUGCGUAGGCGGGCUGUUAAGUCAGCGGUCAAAUGUCGGGGCUCAACCCCGGCCUGCCGUUGAAACUGGCGGCCUCGAGUGGGCGAGAAGUAUGCGGAAUGCGUGGUGUAGCGGUGAAAUGCAUAGAUAUCACGCAGAACUCCGAUUGCGAAGGCAGCAUACCGGCGCCCUACUGACGCUGAGGCACGAAAGCGUGGGUAUCGAACAGG